CUUUCAAGUGGAGAAGUCGUUCAAGUUCCACAAAUUAUUUUGAAUUGUGUAAGAGCUCGUGUAGUGGAGCAGUAUAGGAGCUUCUCCUUAGAGUCUGGAGUAGAGAAUGUUGCCAGUGACAGGUCAUAUAUGAGAGUACUAGAGGCCAUUGAGCCAAGAGUAAGGAAAAGCAUGAAAGGGCUAGAUAACUAUGCUGCAGAUGGAGCCAGAGCUAUUGAUGACCUAAAGAAAAUUGUUACUGAGUUGGGGAAGCUGUUGAAGGGAGUGGAGUGGGAAGAUGACAUAAUUCAGAAACUGUCAAUGGGAAACAGUAUCUUAAACUUGAUUAUAAGAUACAUGUUGCAGUUGAGUCAGAAAUUCCUGACCAUUGUUUAAAUUAUGCCCUGUCUUCGAAAGCUUAUGAACAUCAGAUGACUUGUAGCCAUCCCCACAACAAAAUCUGUUCCAGCUGUCAUGAUUUAAGUAACACCAUAGAGCAGAUACAAUGUGCUGCAGAUGAAACACAGUUUGAGGAUGAAGACCAACGAGACGACAUCCAGUACACAUUGGCACAGAGUGUAAAAGCUUUAGAAGAAUGGAAAAAACAUAUACUACGAUCAGUCAAUCAAGAUAGAGCAAGAUCUGACAUAUUGGAAAGCAUAGGUGAAGAUCAAGUACUACUGGAAAGAGAUUGGGCCAUGAAAUUCUUACCGAUGAUGUAUAGAGAAUCGCAGUCAAAAUGGUAUGGAAAAAGAGGUCUAAACUGGCAUUUAACUGUUGGAACUUUCAA